UCUACUGGAGUAAGUCCAGUCUCUGGUAGAGAUUCUUUUUUUACUUCUGAAAGCCUGAUUUGCUCUUCAGUUCCAGGUAGCAGCAGUAACUAAGAAUGCUUUUCUGUUACUAGCUAGUAUAGUACAGACCUGUUUACAUGCGAAUCCACUUAACACAUGGUAGCAGCAUGCUUCCCAGUGCUACCUAUUUAACAUGCGGUACAGGAACUUGCUGUGUAGCUCUAAAAUUUGCUCACUAACUCUCACUGACCUAGAAAUCAACGGGAAGUGUGGAGCAGAAUCGUGUUGUACGUCUUUACCGAUAUUGUAAAUAGAAUGCUGCUAAGUGGCCAAUUCAAGCCCAAGUGACAAAAUUUGGAAAUUUAAUGGGAUGAAUCAUUCCAAGCCAGCAAGUGGUUUAUAAGUCAUUUUAAAUAGCGUCAUGGCACAGCGCAGGUAUUUGAUUUC